rnacentral:rRNA from 1 species
GACGAACGCUGGCGGCGUGCUUAACACAUGCAAGUCGAGCGGUAAGGCCCUUCGGGGUACACGAGCGGCGAACGGGUGAGUAACACGUGAGUAACCUACCUCGAACUCUGGGAUAAGCCUGGGAAACUGGGUCUAAUACCGGAUGUUCAUCUCCUGCUGCAUGGUGGGGGAUGGAAAGUGUUUAGCGGUUCGGGAUGGGCUCGCGGCCUAUCAGCUUGUUGGUGAGGUAAUGGCUUACCAAGGCUUUUACGGGUAGCCGGCCUGAGAGGGCGACCGGCCACACUGGGACUGAGAUACGGCCCAGACUCCUACGGGAGGCAGCAGUGGGGAAUAUUGCGCAAUGGGCGGAAGCCUGACGCAGCAACGCCGUGUGAGGGAUGACGGCCUUCGGGUUGUAAACCUCUUUCACCAGGGACGAAGCUUUUGUGACGGUACCUGGGGAAGAAGCGCCGGCCAACUACGUGCCAGCAGCCGCGGUAACACGUAGGGCGCGAGCGUUGUCCGGAAUUAUUGGGCGUAAAGGGCUCGUAGGCGGUUUGUCGCGUCGAAAGUGAAAAUCCGGGGCUCAACUCCGGACUUGCUUUCGAUACGGGCAGGCUAGAGGUAGGCAGGGGAGAAUGGAAUUCCUGGUGUAGCGGUGGAAUGCGCAGAUAUCAGGAGGAACACCGGUGGCGAAGGGCGGUUCUCUGGGCCUUACCUGACGCUGAGGAGCGAAAGCGUGGGGAGCGAACAGGAUUAGAUACCCUGGUAGUCCACGCCCUAAACGAUGAUGACUCGAUGUUUGCGAUAUACAGUAAGCGUCCAAGCGAAAGCGUUAAGUCAUCCACCUGGGGAGUACGCCCGCAAGGGUGAAACUCAAAGGAAUUGACGGGGGCCCGCACAAGCGGAGGAGCAUGUGGUUUAAUUCGAUGAUACGCGAGGAACCUUACCCGGGCUUGAAAGUUACCGAAGUAUCCAGAGACGGAUACGUCCUUCGGGACAGGAAACUAGGUGCUGCAUGGCUGUCGUCAGCUCGUGCCGUGAGGUGUUGGGUUAAGUCCCGCAACGAGCGCAACCCCUAUGUUUAGUUGCCAGCAUUUCAGGUGGGGACUCUAAACAGACUGCCUGCGUAAGCAGUGAGGAAGGCGGGGACGACGUCAAGUCAUCAUGGCCCUUACGUCCGGGGCUACACACGUGCUACAAUGGACGGUACAGCGGGAAGCUACACAGCAAUGUGAUGCGAAUCUCGAAAAGCCGUUCACAGUUCGGAUCGGGGUCUGCAACUCGACCCCGUGAAGUUGGAUUCGCUAGUAAUCGCGUAUCAGCAAUGACGCGGUGAAUACGUUCCCGGGCCUUGCACACACCGC